CUGUAAGUGUGGCCACACCUUAACUCCGUCACGACAGAAAAUGGCCCCACCUGUUACAAUACUGGGGAAUUCAUUUAAAUUCCGCCACCUGAGGCCGAAGGCGCUUAUUUAGACUGCUACAGACUUGAACAUUUAUCAUGAAGUUCACUUUGUGUUCCUUCUGGGUACUGAUUUGUUUUUUGGCAACUAUAUCAGCGGAUCCAUCUGUAAUCGUCGACGUGGAGCCUGGUAACUUCAGCCUCAACCUUAGCUUCUCGCAGAAAUCGUCUUCUGAUGGUCAAAUCUCACAGAUAUUUGUUUCCCUAGACGAACCUUAAUACGCUUCUUGGUAGACCAUGUUGACUGCUAAAAACUUUUAGUUUAAAAUCACUACCCACUAUGUUUAAUGAUAAAUUAUGUUUAAUAAUAAAUCACUGGUGGUAGGACCUCUUGUGAGUCCGCGCGGGUGGGUACCACCACCCUGCCUAUUUCUGCCGUGAAGCAGUAAUGCGUUUCGGUUUGAUGGGUGGGGCAGCCGCUGUAACUAAACUUGAGACCUUAGAACUUAUAUCUCAAGGUGGGCGGCACAUUUACGUUGUGGAUGUCCAUGGGCUCCGGUAACCACUUAGCUCCAGGUGGGAUGUGAGCUCGUCCACCCAUCUAAGCAAAAAAAAAUCUAGUUAUAUUUUUAUAUUUAGUUUUAGGAGAAAAUAAUAUAAUAAUGUUUAUUCACCGUGUGGAACAUAACUAACUUUUUUAUACGUAAUUAAUGAAAGUUCCGUAUAUAUAACCAUGUAGCGUAGUGACCGUCUAGAUCUAAUUUGUACAUAUUUUUAUAAUAAUAAACGUAAUUUAUAGCAA